GGAACGGGCCUUUCAGGCAUCCUCUCCUAAAACUUCAAAGCUGCCCUUCCGGGUGGCUUUUUUUUUGCUUUUUU
rnacentral:sRNA from 1 species